AUGCUCUCAUCAGUGCUGCUGCUGCUCACAGCUGCAUUCUGUGGUGUUGGUGCUGUGGAGCUCACUCAGUCAGCCUCUGUGCUCGUGAAACCUGGAGAGUCAUUCUCCAUCUCUUGUAAGACCUCAGAGUCGAGCUAUUGUAUUACCUGGAUACGACAACCUGCUGGGAAAGCUCUGGAAUGGCUCGGAUAUCUGUGUAGUGGUGGUAGCACGAAUCUCAAAGAUACAGUGAAGAGCAAGAUCAGUUUCAGCCAGGACACAUCCAGCAGAACAGUUUAUUUAAGAGGACAAAACUCUCAGACCGAGGACAUGGCUGUGUAUUACUGUGCCAGAGACACACAGCACUACAGACUCCCUGCAGCCCUGUACAAAAACAUCCCUGUUCAUUUUCAUCUCCCUGCAGUCCACUUGUCCCCAGGGACGCCUGUUAAUGUGAAGGAGGUGAAGUGUAACUGCAGCAUUCAGCCUCUCCAAAGGUCAGGUGAUACUGUAUGA